GCAGAAGAACAGAGGUGGGUGAAAGGCCAGCAGGUGGAAGUAGCUGCUCUGGAGGCGGAUCACCACAUAGAAAUAUUUGGAGCGCAGAAGAAAAACCUUUUCCUGCUGAAAUGCUGAAGAAAAGAUAUCUUUAUGUCUACCAAACCAUAAGCCCUUAAACAUAGAGAGGUGCUGAGGCAGCAGUGCAGGGACGGAGGAUAUAAAAUGAUAUGACACAUACACAUACAGCUCGGCUCACGCCACGGCGACAGCAUUCAGAACAUAAACAUGUUUAUAAAAUGUAACUGAAUAAAUAAAAAAAC